rnacentral:rRNA from 1 species
GACAGAGGGUGCGAACGUUGUUCGGAAUUACUGGGCGUAAAGCGCGUGUAGGCGGCUCGUUACGUCGGAUGUGAAAGCCCUGGGCUCAACCUAGGAAGUGCAUUCGAAACUGCUGAGCUUGAGUUCUGGAGAGGAAGGCGGAAUUCUCGGUGUAGAGGUGAAAUUCGUAGAUAUCGAGAGGAACACCGGUGGCGAAGGCGGCCUUCUGGACAGCAACUGACGCUGAGACGCGAAAGCGUGGGGAGCAAACAGG